rnacentral:lncRNA from 1 species
GAAGUAUUAGAGGAGUCAGAAGACAAAGGGAGAGGGGAAGAGGAGAGAUCAUACCUUGGAGUAGCAUCACACACCGAGAGAAGAGCUGGAGUCAGAGUAGAUGGACUGGAACUAGCAAGAGAACGUGAUGAGAGCAGCUCCUAAUUAGGCUGUGUGGUAGUGGAAGAAGAUCCUUGGUGCGGGAAAGAUUCAGAGGGAGUGGGAACCAUAAAAAAAG